rnacentral:snoRNA from 1 species
AUUCCAAAACAUGAUCUGUUAUAGGAUCGUACCUCUGUAUCUCCUUGAGUUCUAAGGAGACAGGAAACUAAGUCUGGUGGAUGAUUUACGACUGUGUGAUUAGAGCGUAACUAACAGCUACCGUUUAUCUUCAUGAUCUCCUGGUGGUGCUGAUAACGUAUUGUAAAUAAACAGAAG